CCUACGGGCGGCAGCAGUGAGGAAUAUUGGUCAAUGGCCGUAAGGCUGAACCAGCCAAGUCGCGUGAAGGAAGAAGGAUCUAUGGUUUGUAAACUUCUUUUAUAGGGGAAUAAAGGUAUCCACGUGUGGAUAUUUGCAUGUACCCUAUGAAUAAGCAUCGGCUAACUCCGUGCCAGCAGCCGCGGUAAUACGGAGGAUGCGAGCGUUAUCCGGAUUUAUCGGGUUUAAAGGGUGCGUAGGUUGUUUUUUAAGUCAGCGGUGAAAGUUUGUGGCUCAACCAUAAAAUUGCCGUUGAAACUGGAAGACUUGAGUGUGUUUGAGGUAGGCGGAAUGCGUGGUGUAGCGGUGAAAUGCAUAGAUAUCACGCAGAACUCCGAUUGCGAAGGCAGCUUACUAAGCCAUAACUGACACUGAAGCACGAAAGCGUGGGGAUCAAACAGGAUUAGAUACCCUAGUAGUC
rnacentral:rRNA from 1 species